GGCCGUGUGGCAAAAUGGUUACUGCGUUGCUUUCCGAUCGUUACGUGCUUAGCGUAAUGGUUCAAGGCAGAGACUGUGGGUUCGAGUCCCACCAUGGUCG